GACGAACGCUGGCGGCGUGCUUAACACAUGCAAGUCGAACGGAAAGGCCCUGCUUGCAGGGUGCUCGAGUGGCGAAAGGGUGAGUAACACGUGGGUGAUCUGCCCCUUACUUUGGGAUAAGCCUGGGAAACUGGGUCUAAUACUGGAUAGGACCAUGCUGUAGGUGGUGUGGUGGAAAGAUUAGUUUCGGUAAGGGAUGAGCUCGCGGCCUAUCAGCUUGUUGGUGGGGUAAUGGCCUACCAAGGCGUCGACGGGUAGCCGGCCUGAGAGGGUGGACGGCCACAUUGUGACUGCGGUACGGCCCAGCCUCCUACGGGGGGCAGCAGUGGGGAAGAUUGCACAAUGGGCGCAAGCCUGAUGAAGCGACGCCGCGUGGUGGAUGAUGGCCUUCGUGUUGUAAACUCCUUUCAUCCAUGACGAAGCCCUUGUGGUGACGGUAGUGGUAGAAGAAGCACCGGCUAACUACGUG
rnacentral:rRNA from 1 species